rnacentral:rRNA from 1 species
GACGAACGCUGGCGGCGUGCUUAACACAUGCAAGUCGAACGGAAAGGCCCUGCUUUUGUGGGGUGCUCGAGUGGCGAACGGGUGAGUAACACGUGAGUAACCUGCCCUUGACUUUGGGAUAACUUCAGGAAACUGGGGCUAAUACUGGAUAGGAGCUCCUGCUGCAUGGUGGGGGUUGGAAAGUUUCGGCGGUUGGGGAUGGACUCGCGGCUUAUCAGCUUGUUGGUGGGGUAGUGGCUUACCAAGGCUUUGACGGGUAGCCGGCCUGAGAGGGUGACCGGCCACAUUGGUACUGAGAGACGGCCCAGACUCCUACGGGAGGCAGCAGUGGGGAAUAUUGCACAAUGGGCGGAAGCCUGAUGCAGCAACGCCGCGUGCGGGAUGACGGCCUUCGGGUUGUAAACCGCUUUCGCCUGUGACGAAGCGUGAGUGACGGUAAUGGGUAAAGAAGCACCGGCUAACUACGUG